UUACCUUCUGUUUUUUUUUCCUUAAGGUGCGUUUUCCUCUGCAUAAUAGAGAGACAGCUUUGGGAGGCCUGAACUAUUGUGUCCUCCCCUGACAACCUGAAUAACCUCUUUGAACAACUCAAGAUUACAGAGGGACUGUGUAAAGGCAGAACUGCAACUCUAACACACUACACUACAUUCCAAAAUAAGAUAACCAGCCAGGUAUGAAGCUUUCACUAAUGCCACCUCCAGCCUUACUGCUAUGAGGUAAGUCAGACUCAUUGUCGCUAUUUUCUCAUUUUUGUUUUGUCUUUGUUUGUUCCUUU
rnacentral:lncRNA from 1 species